rnacentral:rRNA from 1 species
AUUGAACGCUGGCGGCAUGCUUUACACAUGCAAGUCGAACGGUAACAGGCCGCAAGGUGCUGACGAGUGGCGAACGGGUGAGUAAUGCAUCGGAACGUGCCCAGUUGUGGGGGAUAACUACUCGAAAGAGUAGCUAAUACCGCAUACGAUCUAUGGAUGAAAGCGGGGGACCGUAAGGCCUCGCGCGAUUGGAGCGGCCGAUGUCAGAUUAGGUAGUUGGUGGGGUAAAGGCUCACCAAGCCAACGAUCUGUAGCUGGUCUGAGAGGACGACCAGCCACACUGGGACUGAGACACGGCCCAGACUCCUACGGGAGGCAGCAGUGGGGAAUUUUGGACAAUGGGCGCAAGCCUGAUCCAGCAAUGCCGCGUGCAGGAAGAAGGCCUUCGGGUUGUAAACUGCUUUUGUACGGAACGAAACGGCUCUGGUUAAUACCCGGGGCUAAUGACGGUACCGUAAGAAUAAGCACCGGCUAACUACGUG